UCGACCCCACCUACAAGCCUUGGACCAUCUCAGGUCCCAAAUGCUGAGAAGAGAUGGGCUGGAGCCUGAGGAGCAGCUCCCUGAGACCUCAGACUAACAACAGUGGAAGAAUGGAAAUCUGCUACCAGCCAGUGGUCUCCCAGAGCUCUCAAAAGCAGUUGACAGAAGCUACAUUGUUGGAGAGGGUCAGAAUGGACAGUUGCUUUAAAUACCUUAAAAAGAGAUGUAAUUAGCUACCAGAGAUAUCACAUUUCCUAAGAGGAAGGAUUCCAGAAAUGACACUUGCAUGUGAAACAGUGUGUGAGCUUCUGAAGGGAGGUGGAUGUAUCCUGCAAGCUGCCAAUUUGAGGGCUGCCGCUGCCAAAUGCUCAGUCUCGAGAAGAAAUUGUUCUCAGUGAUAAGCCUGAGGUUUUCAACAAGAAGCAUACUGAGGAAAUGGCCUCUGAUAA